UACGUAGGGUGCAAGCGUUAAUCGGAAUUACUGGGCGUAAAGCGUGCGCAGGCGGCUAUGCAAGACAGAUGUGAAAUCCCCGAGCUCAACUCGGGAACUGCGUCCGAUACUGGCGGGCUUGAAUCCGGGGAGAGGGAUGCGGAAUUCCAGGUGUAGCGGUGAAAUGCGUAGAUAUCUGGAGGAACACCGGUGGCGAAGGCGGCGAUCC
rnacentral:rRNA from 1 species